AGAGUUUGAUCAUGGCUCAGAUUGAACGCUGGCGGCAUGCCUUACACAUGCAAGUCGAACGGUAGCACGGGGGCAACCCUGGUGGCGAGUGGCGAACGGGUGAGUAAUACAUCGGAACGUGUCCUGUAGUGGGGGAUAGCCCGGCGAAAGCCGGAUUAAUACCGCAUACGACCUGAGGGAGAAAGCGGGGGAUCUUCGGA
rnacentral:rRNA from 1 species